rnacentral:rRNA from 1 species
AUUGAACGCUGGCGGCAGGCUUAACACAUGCAAGUCGAACGAGUGGCGGACGGGUGAGUAAUGCUUGUGAAUAUGGCUUACGGAGGGGGAUAACGACGGGAAACCGUCGCUAAUACCGCGUACCAUAGGAUGAGCCCACGGGGGAUUAGGGAGUGGGGGGGGUAAUGGCCUAUCAGGCCGACGAUAUCUAGCUGGUCUGAGAGGAUGACCAGCCACAUCGGGACUGAGACACUGCCCGGACUCCUACGUGAGGCAGCAGUGGGGAAUAUUGCGAAAUGGGGGCAACCCUGACGCAGCCAUGCCGCGUGAAUGAAGAAGGCCUUCGGGUUGUAAAGGACUUUUGUCAGGGAAGCGGUACCUGAAGAAUAAGCACCGGCUAACUACGUGCCAGCAGCCGCGGUAAUAC